rnacentral:rRNA from 1 species
UACGUAGGGGGGCAAGCGUUGUCCGGAAUUAUUGGGCGUAAAGCGCGCGCAGGCGGUUUUUUUAAGUCUGGUGUUUAAAACCCCGAGGCUCAACCUCGGGUCGCAUCGGAAACUGGGAGACUUGAGUGCAGAAGAGGAGAGUGGAAUUCCACGUGUAGCGGUGAAAUGCGUAGAGAUGUGGAGGAACACCAGUGGCGAAGGCGACUCUCUGGGCUGUAACUGACGCUGAGGCGCGAAAGCGUGGGGAGCAAACAGGG